GACGAACGCUGGCGGCGUGCUUAACACAUGCAAGUCGAACGGAAAGGCCCUGCUUUUGUGGGGUGCCCGAGUGGCGAACGGGUGAGUAACACGUGAGUAACCUGCCCUUGACUUUGGGAUAACUUCAGGAAACUGGGGCUAAUACCGGAUAGGAGCUCCUGCUGCAUGGUGGGGGUUGGAAAGUUUCGGCGGUUGGGGAUGGACUCGCGGCUUAUCAGCUUGUUGGUGGGGUAGUGGCUUACCAAGGCUUUGACGGGUAGCCGGCCUGAGAGGGUGACCGGCCACAUUGGGACUGAGAUACGGCCCAGACUCCUACGGGAGGCAGCAGUGGGGAAUAUUGCACAAUGGGCGGAAGCCUGAUGCAGCAACGCCGCGUGCGGGAUGACGGCCUUCGGGUUGUAAACCGCUUUCGCCUGUGACGAAGCGUGAGUGACGGUAAUGGGUAAAGAAGCACCGGCUAACUACGUGCCAGCAGCCGCGGUGAUACGUAGGGUGCGAGCGUUGUCCGGAUUUAUUGGGCGUAAAGGGCUCGUAGGUGGUUGAUCGCGUCGGAAGUGUAAUCUUGGGGCUUAACCCUGAGCGUGCUUUCGAUACGGGUUGACUUGAGGAAGGUAGGGGAGAAUGGAAUUCCUGGUGGAGCGGUGGAAUGCGCAGAUAUCAGGAGGAACACCAGUGGCGAAGGCGGUUCUCUGGGCCUUUCCUGGCGCUGAGGAGCGAAAGCGUGGGGAGCGAACAGGCUUAGAUACCCUGGUAGUCCACGCUGUAAACGGUGGGUACUAGGUGUGGGGUCCAUUCCACGGGUUCCGUGCCGUAGCUAACGCUUUAAGUACCCCGCCUGGGGAGUACGGCCGCAAGGCUAAAACUCAAAGGAAUUGACGGGGCCCCGCACAAGCGGCGGAGCAUGCGGAUUAAUUCGAUGCAACGCGUAGAACCUUACCUGGGUUUGACAUGGAUCGGGAGUGCUCAGAGAUGGGUGUGCCUCUUUUGGGGUCGGUUCACAGGUGGUGCAUGGCUGUCGUCAGCUCGUGUCGUGAGAUGUUGGGUUAAGUCCCGCAACGAGCGCAACCCUUGUUCACUGUUGCCAGCACGUUAUGGUGGGGACUCAGUGGAGACCGCCGGGGUCAACUCGGAGGAAGGUGGGGAUGACGUCAAGUCAUCAUGCCCCUUAUGUCCAGGGCUUCACGCAUGCUACAAUGGCUGGUACAGAGAGUGGCGAGCCUGUGAGGGUGAGCGAAUCUCGGAAAGCCGGUCUCAGUUCGGAUUGGGGUCUGCAACUCGACCUCAUGAAGUCGGAGUCGCUAGUAAUCGCAGAUCAGCAACGCUGCGGUGAAUACGUUCCCGGG
rnacentral:rRNA from 1 species